CCUUACUACGAUAAUCCUCUACAAGUUGG
rnacentral:antisense_RNA from 1 species